rnacentral:rRNA from 1 species
GAUGAACGCUAGCUACAGGCCUAACACAUGCAAGUCGAGGGGCAUCGGGAGGGAAGCUUGCUUCCCUUGCCGGCGACCGGCGCACGGGUGAGUAACGCGUAUCGAACCUGCCCCAUACCCGGGGAUAGCCUUGCGAAAGUAAGAUUAAUACCCGAUGGCUUCCUUUUAUCUCCUGAUAGAGGGAAUAAAGAAUUUCGGUAUGGGAUGGCGAUGCGUCCGAUUAGCUAGUUGGCGGGGUAACGGCCCACCAAGGCGACGAUCGGUAGGGGUUCUGAGAGGAAGGUCCCCCCACAUUGGAACUGAGACACGGUCCAAACUCCUACGGGAGGCAGCAGUGAGGAAUAUUGGUCAAUGGGCGAAAGCCUGAACCAGUCAAGUAGCGUGCAGGAUGACGGCCCUACGGGUUGUAAACUGCUUUUAGGCGGGGUAAAGGAGCGGACGUGUUCCGCUUUUGCAAGUACCGCCAGAAAAAGGACCGGCUAAUUCCGUG